GAAUAAGGGCGCAUGGUGGAUGCCUUGGCUCUCGGAGGCGAUGAAGGACGUGAUAAGCUGCGAAAAGCUUCGGGUAGGUGCAAAUAACCUUUGAUCCGAAGAUCUCCCAAUGGGACAACCCGGUUGGUUGAAGACCAAUCAUCCUAUUUUUAUUGAUAGGAGGCAAACGCGGGGAACUGAAACAUCUUAGUACCCGUAGGAAGAGAAAAUAAAGAAUGAUUCCGUUAGUAGUGGCGAGCGAACGCGGACUAGCCCAAACCGUUUAUGUUGCGGCAUAGGCGGGGUUGUAGGACUACGUUGUAAGUAAUAGGAAUUGAGAAGAAUGUACUGGAACGUGCAGCCAUAGAGCAUGAAAGCUGCGUAUUCGCAGGUUCUUAUUAUUUUAGUAGUAUCCUGAGUAGCGCGGGACACGUGUUAUCCUGUGUGAAUCUGCCGGGACCAUCCGGUAAGGCUAAAUACUCCCGAGAGACCGAUAGUGAACCAGUACCGUGAGGGAAAGGUGAAAAGCACUUCAAAUAGAAGAGUGAAAAAGUUCCUGAACCCAUGCGCCUACAAGCGGUCGGAGCAGUCUUAAUUGAUUGUGACGGCGUGCCUUUUGCAUAAUGAACCUACGAGUUGUCUGUUCCGGCUUUGAUUAAGGAUUUCAGAUCCGUAGUCGUAGCGAAAGCGAGUCCUAACGCGGCGAAUUAUGUCGGAAUGGACAGACGCGAAACCAAGUGAUCUACCCUUGGCCAGGUUGAAGGUUAGGUAACACUGACUGGAGGACCGCACCGAUAAGCGUUGAAAAGCUUCCGGAUGAGCUGAGGGUAGGGGUGAAAGGCUAAUCAAACUUGGAGAUAGCUCGUACUCCCCGAAAUGCAUUUAGGUGCAGCCUUAUUUAUUUCUUCCAUGAGGUAGAGCUACCGAUAAGACGCGAGGGCUUCACCGCCUGUCAAGUCUUGACGAACUCCGAAUGCAUGUGAAGUUAUUAGAAUAGGAGUGAGGGCAUGGGUGCUAAGGUCCAUGUCCGAAAGGAGAAGAAUCCGGACCAUCAGCUAAGGUCCCCAAAUAGAUGUUCAGUUGAACUAACGAAGUUAAAUUGCCGUGACAGCUAGGAUGUUGGCUUGGAAGCAGCCAUUCAUUUAAAGAGUGCGUAACAGCUCACUAGUCGAGGGAUUUAGCGUGGAUAAUACUCGGGCAUAAACAUCUUACCGAAGCUGUGGGAUAGUAUGAUACAUUGUAUUAUAGUAUCGGUAGGGGAGCAUUCCAUAUUCACGUUGAAGAUAUGACGUAAGUUGUGUUGGAGUAUAUGGAAACGCAAAUGUAGGUAUAAGUAACGAUAAAGGAGGUGAGAAACCUCCUCGCCGAAAGACUAAGGUUUCCUGAUCAACGCUAAUCGGAUCAGGGUAAGUCGGGUCCUAAGGCUCAUCCAGUAUAAUUGGAGAAGUCGAUGGUCGAACCGGUUAAUAUUCCGGUACUACCUUUGUAAGUGAUGCGGUGACGGAGUAGUGACAAUACCGCAGCCUGACGGAAUAGGCUGUUGAAUGGUGUAGAUAUUGAUGGUGGCAGGCAAAUCCGCCACCUGAGUCGAACCUGAUAGUAUGAUGAAUCUUCGGAUGAGUCAAUAGUGUAUGUAAUCAGACUCCCAAGAAAACCCGCUAAACGUUAAUUACUCAGGUACCCGUACCGUAAACGGACACACGUGGUCGGGUAGAAAAUACUCAGGCGCUUGAGUGAAUCACGGUUAAGGAACUAGGCAAAUUGACCCUGUAACUUCGGGAUAAAGGGUCCCUCCUCAAGAGAUUGAGAGGGCGCAGAGAAUAGGUCCAGGCAACUGUUUACCAAAAACACAGGGCUGUGCGAAAUCGAAAGAUGCGGUAUACAGCCUGACACCUGCCCGGUGCUGGAAGGUUAAGAGGAGAGCUUAUCGUGCCGCAAGGUGUGAGAAGGUUUGAAUUGAAGCCCCAGUAAACGGCGGCCGUAACUAUAACGGUCCUAAGGUAGCGAAAUUCCUUGUCGGGUAAGUUCCGACCUGCACGAAUGGUGUAAUGAUCUGGACACUGUCUCAACCGUGAGCUCAGUGAAAUUGUAGUAUCGGUGAAGAUGCCGAUUACCCGCGAUGGGACGAAAAGACCCCGUGAACCUUUACUAUAGCUUAACAUUGAAUUCGGGUACGUGAUGUGUAGGAUAGGUCGGAGACUGUGAAUCGUGUACGCUAGUAUGCGUGGAGUCGCCCUUGAAAUACGACCCUUUAUUUAUUUGGAUUCUAACUUGAUUGUUUCAAGGACAUUGUUUGGUGGGUAGUUUGACUGGGGUGGUCGCCUCCAAAAGAGUAACGGAGGCUUCUUAAGGUACCCUCAAAACGAUUGGUAACCGUUUUCAGAGUGUAAUGGCAUAAGGGUGCUUGACUGUGAGACGUACAUGUCGACCAGGUAGGAAACUAGAGCAUAGUGAUCCGGUGUUUCCGUAUGGAAGGGACAUCGCUCAAAGGAUAAAAGGUACUCCGGGGAUAACAGGCUGAUCCCUCCCAAGAGUUCAUAUCGACGGAGGGGUUUGGCACCUCGAUGUCGGCUCGUCACAUCCCGGGGCUGGAGAAGGUCCCAAGGGUUGGGCUGUUCGCCCAUUAAAGUGGCACGCGAGCUGGGUUCAGAACGUCGUGAGACAGUUCGGUCUCUAUCUAUCGUGGGCGUAAGAAAUUUGAGUGGUUCCGUCACUAGUACGAGAGGACCGUGUUGGACAGACCUCCGGUUUACCGGUUGUGCCGCCAGGUGCAUUGCCGGGUAUCUGCGUCUGGAUUGGGAUAAGUGCUGAAAGCAUCUAAGUACGAAACCCUCCACGAGAUAAGAUUUCUUUAAGGGUCGUUGUAGACUACGACGUUGAUAGGCUGCAGGUGUAGGGGUAGAAAUAUCUUAGCCGAGCAGUACUAAUUGCCCGUACUCUUU
rnacentral:rRNA from 1 species